rnacentral:rRNA from 1 species
AUGUUCUGCCUCGACGUGCCAUUCUCUGAAUCAGAGAUUUGGGUGGCCGUCAAGCGAGUACCAGAUGGGAAGGCACCGGGACCCGAUGGGUUCAUCGUCAAGUUUCUCCAUGCAUGGUGGGACAUCGUCAAGCAGGAUAUUUGUGACAUUUUCCACAAUCUCUAUCUGAUGAACGGCGGUGGCUUCCAUAAGUUGAAGGAAGCGCUUCUUACCUUGCUUCCCAAGAAGGACGACGCCUCGUAGUUGUUCGACUACCGCCCCAUCAGCCUGAACCAUCUCCUUGCGAAACUAUUCGCCAAGGUGCUAUCCCUGAGGCUGACCCCUCACCUUGGUAAUAUCGUCUUGGCCAACCAGAGUGCGCUCAUCGCCGGCCGUGGCGUGCAUGAUAACUUCAUGCUAGUGCAACAAAUCACUCGCCUCCUCCACAACCUCAAGGCCCCGCACGUGCGCUGA